rnacentral:rRNA from 1 species
GUGUCAGCCGCCGCGGUAACACGUAGGAUCCGAGCGUUAUCCGAAUUUACUGGGCGUAAAGCGCGUGUAGGCGGUCUGGUAAGUUGGACGUGAAAGCUCCUGGCUCAACUGGGAGAGGUCGUUCAAGACUGCCGGGCUAGAGGGCGGUAGAGGGAGGUGGAAUUCCCGGUGUAGUGGUGAAAUGCGUAGAUAUCGGGAGGAACACCAGUGGCGAAAGCGGCCUCCUGGACCGUACCUGACGCUCAGACGCGAAAGCUAGGGGAGCGAACGGGAUUAGAUACCCGCGUAGUCC